rnacentral:rRNA from 1 species
AUUGAACGCUGGCGGCAGGCCUAACACAUGCAAGUCGAGCGGUAGCACAGAGAGCUUGCUUUCGGGUGACGAGCGGCGGACGGAUGAGUAGUGUCUGGGAAACUGCCUGAUGGAGGGGGAUAACUACUGGAAACGGUAGCUAAUACCGCAUAACGUCGCAAGACCAAAGUGGGGGACCUUCGGGCCUCAUGCCAUCAGAUGUGCCCAGAUGGGAUUAGCUAGUAGGUGGGGUAACGGCUCACCUAGGCGACGAUCCCUAGCUGGUCUGAGAGGAUGACCAGCCACACUGGAACUGAGACACGGUCCAGACUCCUACGGGAGGCAGCAGUGGGGAAUAUUGCACAAUGGGCGCAAGCCUGAUGCAGCCAUGCCGCGUGUGUGAAGAAGGCCUUCGGGUUGUAAAGCACUUUCAGCGGGGAGGAAGGCGAUAAGGUUAAUAACCUUGUCGAUUGACGUUACCCGCAGAAGAAGCACCGGCUAACUCCGUGCCAGCCGCCGCCGUAAUAC